GGCCUUAGCGCGGUGGUCCCACCUGACCCCAUGCCGAACUCAGAAGUGAAACGCCGUAGCGCCGAUGGUAGUGUGGGGUUUCCCCAUGCGAGAGUAGGGAACUGCCAGGCA
rnacentral:rRNA from 1 species